GCAGGUGUCAUAUAACGGCUAUUAUUCCAGUUUUCCAAACUGGUAACACGGGUUCGACUCCCGUCACCUGCU
rnacentral:tRNA from 1 species